rnacentral:rRNA from 1 species
GCUAGAGCGAAAGUCUAGUGGAUGUGUUAGGAAAUAGUAGCGUUCGUUCGAUGCAUUUCCGGAGGGUAUGCGCCACGACUGAUGCGAAAGGCUAGUGAAUCUGGCGAAUUGAGGUGGAAUCCCUUCGGGGUAUUCAGUACCAGUUCGUCGGCCUAUAGUCGCUAGACCGCAGUAGGCAUCGAGCGCGGAAUAUAUCGAACACUGGCAAAUAUGCUCGUUUAAGCGGUGGAUAGUCGACGGAAUAUUCUGUACCUGCUCGCAGGUUAUGUUUGUUCCCGUUCGGCUUUGAAAUCGCGGACGAGUCUAGUGUUCUGGCGUCAGUGGCGUCCGAGAUGGUCAACCGUCCGACCCGUCUUGAAACACGGACCAAGGAGUCUAACGUACGCGCGAGCUAAUGAGUGGAAAACUCAUAAGCGCAAUAAAAGUAAAAGCCGUUUCCGACGGCGCAGGGUACGAUCCUGGGGUAUCUAUUUAUACCAGGCGCAGUACCAUCCCAUCCUGAUCGCUCGUCGAAAGGGUGGAGAUUGAGUGCAUACGUUGGGACCCGAAAGAUGGUGAACUAUGCCUGAGCAGAGCGAAGCCAGAGGAAACUCUGGUGGAGGUUCGUAGCGGU